GAGCCGCACAAGCCCCACGCGCCCGCAGCGGGCAGCUCCCUGCAAGUGGCCCUGGAGGGAGCCGCCGGUCGGGCCCCAACAUCUCCAGAACCGGGUCUCUGUGGCCCUGAGCCCACGUUCGCCAUACAGGCAGAGUGCCGCCGCGGGGGACCGCAGGGCCUCUCUGGACGGUGACCGCAAGACCACCCCGGUUUGUCCCGGACUUGCUGGUUUUAGCCCUGAAGUGUCAUGGCCCAGGGGGCCCCUCCACCCGGGCAAACGAGACACGUGGUCACUCUACCUGGGACCAGCUCGGGGGACAGCCCCUGUCCCCCAGCUCCUCGGACCACUGGCCAGCCCAUCUUUUCCAUGAGAAAUAAACCUCUGUCUUGUUAAAGCUGCUGUAAUUUUGGUGUCUAUAAAGUGGCUAAACCAG